UACGUAGGGCGCAAGCGUUGUCCGGAAUUAUUGGGCGUAAAGAGCUCGUAGGCGGUUUGUCGCGUCUGCUGUGAAAACCUAAGGCUCAACCUUGGGCUUGCAGUGGGUACGGGCAGACUAGAGUGCGGUAGGGGUGACUGGAAUUCCUGGUGUAGUGGUGAAAUGCGCAGAUAUCAGGAAGAACACCAAUGGCGAAAGCAGCUCUCUGGGACGGUACUGACGCUGAGACGCGAAAGCGUGGGGAGCGAACAGG
rnacentral:rRNA from 1 species